ACCCCAGUGAGGAUAAAGCGGUGUAUAGAGAAUGGAUGAUACAGAAAAGAUUGGCAUGGCCCCCGCGAAAGGAUGGCACAUAAAUUUGUGAAGCAGUUCUCAUUUUU
ensembl:snRNA U6 U6 spliceosomal RNA